rnacentral:sRNA from 1 species
AUGUGGACCACAAUGGCGGAUGAUUCAGCUCGUUCCUUUUCGCGUACCAAUCUAGUAGCUUUGCUAAGCAUCUUUACGCUGAUAAUCACCUGCGCAGGCUUCACAAUUGGACUAACAUUUGCGCCAUGCUACAGCAGCAUCUGUGUCGAACGUUGGUUUCCAUCCCAGACUCGCAUACAUAUCGCAGUCUUCUACGGGCUCACCGGAGUUGUUGCGUUGGGCCUCGCAAGCUGGUCUAGGUCGAAGCUCAUCAGGCAUAUCUUCGAUCGAUUUCUGUUGGAAAAGCCCGUUCCCUUAAUCCGAGCACGAUUGUCAAUCGCUGGACUGUUGCUUUCAUUCUUGAUUUUGGCAGCUACUUUGGCAUCGACGAGUUACUGGUUACCCGCCGAAAACACAUUUUGGACCAUAAAAGGGCGAGAUGCGGGUUGGACCGAGUACAUGUUUCGUGUGACUUGGGCUGGAGUUACAGGUCAUUGGUGUGACAUCCUGCUUGGCUUGGUCUUCCUUCCUGUGGGACGGAAUAGCCUCUUGUCUAGAGCAUUUGACGUACAUGCAUCCUCGCUAUUGCUUGCGCACAAGCUAUUGGCGUGUGCACUAUGUGUGUUUGGUAUGAUACAUGGAUUUCUCUACUACGUACGUAUACAGCUUUGACGUCGGAUUGACAUACACAUCACAGCUAACCUGAUCGUAGUCAUUUCUUGGUGCCUGGGUCGCCAAUGCUAAUAUCGAACAAAUUUCUGAUGCAUUCAAUCCCGACAAUCCGUUCUUCGAUAGGACACAAAUCGAGCAAAUCGGACCUUAUGCAUGGUUCGUCCUUCCGACGGGCGCGAUUGGGGGUCUCUUGAUCAUCCCUAUCAUCCUCAUAGCGGCUCUUCCUGUAAUUCGGCGGAACAAUUACAACACCUUCUACUUCAUCCACAUUAUUUUUGCCCAGCUCCUGCUGCUGGUGCUCUGUCUACACGCGAGCACUAAUUUCUACUUCGUCCUUCCCGGGUUGUUGCUCUGGGUUUACGACUGGAUAUAUCGCCUGCGUCAUGCUCUGCUCUCCAAGACGGAGGUUCAGGUAGAAGAUGCUGGGCAUGACUGGUAUCGGAUGCGACUACCGAGGACGUUGCGUUCCGGUGAAGACGACGCUACGGCCGAGAAGGGAGUCUUUACACGAGAUCUUACGAAUGUUCGACACCCGCUGGAAACGUAUUAUGUUCGGAUUGGAGCCAUCAGUAAAAUGCAAAUCCAUCCGUUCACCGCAGCAACCGCAGAGACGCUGUCAAACGGUCCAACCCUGUUGUUCCAGAGGGGUCCGGCAAAGAAGAAGGCAACUCAAAGCGAUCGAGAGUGGACGUGGCGCCUAAGUGCGAUGGUAGACCAGCUCAAUGCGCCGAAACCAUUGUCUCUGCAGGUAAGAAUGACGGUACUUCAAGAUUUCGGACAUCCUGAUCAAUGCUGACCUCCUGCCAGGCUCGCAUCGAGGGCCCAUACGUUGUCUCUCUUCCUCAACUUUAUGCCGCGAGUCAUGUUCUUGCGAUCGUAGGAGGGACAGGCAUAACUGGGGCAUUAUCUCUUGCCAAUUGGUGGACUGCUCGACAUCAGUAUGCACCUGUACCACAUAAUCACUUACGGAUAGUAUGGAGCGUCCGAAAGAUCGAGAUGACUCAGAUAUCCGAGGUACAAGCCUUGCAGGCCGCCCUAGCGGAGACCAAGCAGAACGUGGAGCUAGAGAUCCAUGUCUCUUCAGCGUCAGGUCGUAUGAGUUCCGCGAAUGUGCUGGCCGACUAUCUAGCAUUACACAUGGCAAACGGAGGCCGACUAUUUGUGUACAUCUCGGGGCCGGAAGGACUGUCUACUGCAGCGGAAAAUGCUUGUGUACAGUAUCAGAGCGAAUUUCGGACCAAGCGGAGAAGCGGGAAGCCGAUGGAGCUCGAUUGGUAUGCGGCCACUUUUGCGUUGUAGGAACAUUCAUAGGAUCUUAAUAGGUUGAAAUUCAGCAUGGGGAAGAAUCCUGGUGUACGAGAACGAUGACAACUUAGAUUUGCAGCGCCGAUCUCGAUGUGAAUCGCUUUGCACAAGCAGAAUGUUGCUACCGAGCAAGCUGGCUAUGGAGUAUGGCAUCUACCACAUAUCUAUGCAACUGGUUCUAACGAGUCUACUCGAGAGCGUGCUGCCUUCGUCAUGGGAAGCUGGCCACUGGCUCCUCGGCUCAGUGACAACCUGUUGAAGCUUCAAAAGCAAAGAUCCAGGGAUUUGCCGGGGUAGACAUCCACUUGACUAUUUUGCUGGUGCGAAUUCCUCCGUGUGAAACCCACCAGGAAUAGCCCGGACUUGUAUGGGCUUCACCCACGCUCGAUCUUCCAGCUGGUCAUGACAGUCUCCCAGCGACGGGUGCGGUCAAAAAGGCGAAUUUCAUUUAUUUCUAUCCCGGAUCACAUUGUUUGGGACUGCUACCUUGGGACCUGGUAAGGGCGUAUUUCUACUCACAAACCUCAAGCCGACAGCUACUGGGGAUGAACACGAGGCAAGGGAGGUCUUAGCUGCUGUGUGCCUAACGAUGCGCAUACUUCAAGUCGGGUGGGACUUGCUUCGUAACCAGAGGUCUAGCUGAGAGCAAUGGCGAUGGGGUACGAAACAGUCCCUCGACGCACAGCAAUCUCGAUAACGAGCUCGACAUCACUAUGCGUUCGAUACUCCCCGCCCCAUAUUCAGCUACCACCGUGAUAGUCUCUAGAAUAAUGAGUGUGUGAUCCCAGCGGAACUGUCUGCCUUAAUGGUCCGCUCGCAAAAAUUUGGUCGGAAGGUCUUUCGCCAUCACCAAGACUUUACAUAGCUCUACAGCGCAGGACGCCGAUGAUGGAAGAACGUCAGAAGUGCUUCUAGCGGACUUCUCGAUGCAUCAUGCCAUCGGGCCAGACCAGAAAUGAUUGGAGGAGUUGUAGCUUAGCCGUAUGUCUCCCCCCUGAGACUGGCUCGCCAGUGAGUUUCCGUUUGCGAGCCCAUUGACGUUGGACAGCUGCGAAGUCUGGGCACCCUUCUCUUGCUCUCAUCUAGCGGUUGGGAACGUGUCAGAUCGAUGUCAUGCAUUCCACCUCGACUUCGACACGCCGGUGCUGACUCUGCAUUUGCUCUGAAGGGUCGCCAGGGGAUCGACAGCUCCCCCGGGUUCUGCGAGCAUCGAAGACGUACCUUGUCAUCUACGGGGGCCUGGGCGGCCUGGCGUUCCCCAUGA